rnacentral:rRNA from 1 species
GCGAAAACUUUACAAUGCCGGCAACGGCGAUAAGGGGACCUCGAGUGCCAGGUUACAAAUCUGGCUGUCGUGAUGCCUAAAAAGCAUUGCAUAGCAAGGGCCGGGCAAGACCGGUGCCAGCCGCCGCGGUAACACCGGCGGCUCGAGUGGUAACCGUUAUUAUUGGGUCUAAAGGGUCUGUAGCCGGCCGGAUAAGUCUCUUGAGAAAUCUGGCAGCUUAACUGUCAGGCUUUCAGGAGAUACUGUCUGGCUCGAGGCCGGGAGAGGUGAGGGGUACUUCAGGGGUAGGGGUGAAAUCUUGUAAUCCUUGAAGGACCACCAGUGGCGAAGGCGUCUCACCAGAACGGACCUGACGGCAAGGGACGAAAGCUAGGGGCACGAACC